rnacentral:rRNA from 1 species
AGUGAACGCUGGCGGUAGGCCUAACACAUGCAAGUCGAACGGCAGCACAGUAAGAGCUUGCUCUUACGGGUGGCGAGUGGCGGACGGGUGAGGAAUACAUCGGAAUCUACUUUUUCGUGGGGGAUAACGUAGGGAAACUUACGCUAAUACCGCAUACGACCUACGGGUGAAAGCAGGGGAUCUUCGUACCUUGCGCGAUUGAAUGAGCCGAUGUCGGAUUAGUUAGUUGGGGGGGUAAAGGCCCACCAAGGCGACGAUCCGUAGCUGGUCUGAGUGGAGGAUCGGCCACACUGGAACUGAGACACGGUCCAGACUCCUACGGGAGGCAGCAGUGGGGAAUAUUGGACAAUGGGCGCAAGCCUGAUCCAGCCAUACCGCGUGGGUGAAGAAGGCCUUCGGGUUGUAAAGCCCUUUUGUUGGGAAAGAAAAGCAGCAGGUUAAUACCCCGCUGUUCUGACGGUACCCAAAGAAUAAGCACCGGCUAACUUCGUG